rnacentral:ncRNA from 1 species
UUAAGGGCAAAGCAGUCGUAAGGCUGUGACGCAAAGCCAUAGGGUCCCGAAAGAGACAGCCGGUUGCA